GUGUUACUUCGGUAGCACAUGUACUAAAAUUGGAACGAUACAGAGAAGAUUUGCAUGGCCCCUGGGGGCGCAUGGAUGACACGCACAAUUGUGGAGGGUUCCCAAUUUUU